AAAGUUUCAUUAAAAAAUGAAAUUCAUAUCCCCAACUGACAGUCAUCAUGAUUCAAACAAAAAGUAAGUCUACCUGGGAAAAAAAAAGUAACAUAAUGAAAUCUUUAACACUAAAAGCAAAUACAAAGUACUAAAGUAAAAACUGUGAAUUUAACUUUCCUGAUUUUCACAACCAACAAAUACAUUACAGAAAAAGAGUAAAACA
rnacentral:misc_RNA from 1 species